GAUGAACGCUGGCGGUAUGCUUAACACAUGCAAGUCGAACGGUACCUUCGGGUAUAGUGGCGGACGGGUGAGUAACGCGUGAGAAUCUGUCUUCAGGUCGGGGACAACAGUUAGAAAUGACUGCUAAUACCGGAUGUGCCUAUGGGUGAAAGAUUUAUUGCCUGAAGAAGAGCUCGCGUCAGAUUAGCUAGUAGGUGGUGUAAGAGACUACCUAGGCUUUGAUCUGUAGCUGGUCUGAGAGGACGAUCAGCCACACUGGAACUGAGACACGGUCCAGACUCCUACGAGAGGCAGCAGUGGGGAAUUUUCCGCAAUGGGCGAAAGCCUGACGGAGCAAUACCGCGUGAGGGACGAAGGCUUUUGGGUCGUAAACCUCUUUUAUUAGGGAAGAUAAUGACGGUACCUAAUGAAUAAGCAUCGGCUAACUCUGUGCCAGCAGCCGCGGUAAU
rnacentral:rRNA from 1 species